UUAACUAUUAUAUAGUACUCAGACGACACUAUAAUUCAGAGUUUUGGGUCCUCUGGCGGGCACUCACUAGCCAAAGCCAGUAGCCGAAGCGGCCCGCCAAAGCAACAAAGGUAUGUAUUCAAGGGUGGGAGAUCUACCCGUUAGGGCAUGAACUCUGUAAUGAUCCUUCCGCAGGUUCACCUACGGAAA
rnacentral:misc_RNA from 1 species